rnacentral:rRNA from 1 species
UCCCAGCAGUCCAAGUUGCAGCCACAAUUAUUGGGUCUAAAACAUCCGUAGCUUGCUUUGCAAGUCUCUUGUGAAAUUCCAUAUCUUAAAUAUGGAGCGUGCAGGAGAUACUGCAUUGCUAGAGAUCGGGAGACGUAAGAAGUACAGUCAAGGUAGUAGUAAAAUAUGUUGAUCUUGAUUGGACUAACAAUAGCGAAGGCAUCUUACGAGCACGAAUCUGACAGUGAGGGAUGAAGGCUAGGGUCGCGAAAAG